GACGAACGCUGGCGGCGUGCCUAAUACAUGCAAGUUGAGCGAUGAAGAUUGGUGCUUGCCCCAAUUUGAAGAGCAGCGAACGGGUGAGUAACGCGUGGGGAAUCUGCCUUUGAGCGGGGGACAACAUUUGGAAACGAAUGCUAAUACCGCAUAACAACUUUAAACAUAAGUUUUAAGUUUGAAAGAUGCAAUUGCAUCACUCAAAGAUGAUCCCGCGUUGUAUUAGCUAGUUGGUGAGGUAAAGGCUCACCAAGGCGAUGAUACAUAGCCGGCCUGAGAGGGUGAACAGCCACAUUGGGACCGAGACACGGCCCAAACUCCUACGGGAGGCAGCAGUAGGGAAUCAUCGGCAAUGGACGAAAGUCUGACCGAGCAACGCCGCGUGAGUGAAGGAGGUUUUCGGAUCGUAAAACUCUGUUGGUAGAGAAGAACGUUGGUGGGAGUGGAAAGCUCAUCAAGUGACGGUAACUAACCAGAAAGGGACGGCUAACUACGUG
rnacentral:rRNA from 1 species